AAACUGUUUUAUAAUCUAACCUUCCUAGUUUCUCUUUCCAAAAAAUUAAAUCUCCAUCUCUUCUAAAGAAAAUCAGACCCACGAUACACAAAUUAAGAAUCAGAGAUGUUCGAUUUUUAUGGGUUUUUGGAUAUUAUUUUUCCAGGUUUUUCUUAAUAAUUUUAAUGUCUUUCUAAUGUCUUUUUUCAUUGAGGUUAUUCAUGUGAGCAACGGGGUUUUAUAGGUUUCUUUCGAUGAUCGAUUUUCUUCAUUGUUGUUGCAAAUCAUUUUCCUAAUCCCAAGAGGUUUCAUUUUCUGGGGACAUCUCAAACUAUAGUAAUGCCUAAAUCAAAAUUUUAGAAGGGGCCGUAAUAAUCAAUAAAGAUCAAGAUGUUUGAAGCCAAUGAGUAGUAGCUGGAACUUGUUUUUUUUUUUUUCAUAUAAAUUUGAGUGCAUCUAACUAUAUUCCAAAGUAACUUAUAAAAUAUAUGUUUGUCAAUCUUGCUAUUAUAGAAUUUACGAUGAAUAGAAUAUCGGUUUGUCAAUCUUGCUAUUAUAGAAUUUACGAUGAAUAGAAUAUCGGAGACCAGUAAGAAUAUGGAAAAUUCCGUGCAUCUAACUUAUUAAGGCUGUUAAAGUGUGAAUUUGGAAAGGUAGUUCCUUUGUUUAUUUAUAAAAUAUUGUGUCUUGCUUGCAUUAUACUACUAAUGUUGUUCCUUUUCAUGAAUUGUGCAUCAAUUUAUCUGAUAGGUCAUGAACGACUUGAUAAAGAGACGGGCUGAAAGUCUGAAACUGGAUGCUAAGAUUAACCUUCGUGUAAUGGUCGGGUUUCUUGAAGGUGUUUUUAAGCUUAUGUCUCACACAUGGAGCGGUCACAUGUUUGAGGUGUUAAACGAGAACUCCUUAUGUCCUGGCGGCAUGUCCUUUAGUAUGAAUACGAGUGCAAAGCAUAAAGUUGUGAUGAGAGCCACCAAUGUUGUGAUUGCCAGAAAUAUUGUUGUCAUAUGUUGAUAUGGAGAUGUUGGAAAGGGUUGUGUUGCUGCCAUAUGGUGAUGUAUACGAGUGCAGAGCAGAAAGUUUUUCAAGACAAUCAUCAGAUAGUCAUUUGUAUUCACUAGAUAAAUGCUUGUAUACAGUAAAAUUAGUUCUUAGUCUACUAAAGAUUCAUGUACAUGAGUACACGAUAUUGUGAGAACAUUUUAGUCUCAUUAGAUCUAUAUAAGUUUUCUUAUUUUACAACAAA